UCCUUGAAUUUUGCAUUGAUUCUAUGAAAAAAUGUUGUAACUAGUUGUCUAAUAAGACAUACAUUGAUAGGGAUACCACAAUUUGCACAAGAAACAAAAAGUACUAAAUUAAAUCUCUUUAUUUCCAGAAGUAGUUUCAUCAAUAUAAGGAUACAAAAUGUAUUUCAUAUUCAUUUUAAAGUUAUUUAAUCUUCACAGGUUGUGAGUGUCUUUUUAAUCAAUCAUAGAAGCCACAAAGCUGGAAAUUCAGUGUGCUGUUCAGACUUCCAAUGAUGUCUGGUGAUGUGAAGAGUUUGCUUGCAUAUGCCCAGGAACAGUGAUCUCUUCUAUGAAAUAAAUGUAGAGAAUAAUAGACACAUUCUUCUUGAUUAGCAGAGUAAAGGAUAACUCUGUAACAUACCCUGCAGCUAUGAUAAAAGAGAUAAAAUGGGAAAAAAUAAUGGAACUUAAAUUCGGUAGAGAAGUAAAGGCUAUAUGAUCAUUUCUCUCUCUGGGGCAUUCUUCAGAUGUGAAGCCGAACCAAAUAUGUGGAGUAACUCAAGUUUGAGCUGACAAGCAAUCACAUACUUAAGAGUUCAAUAUGUAAAGCAAUUUCAAACCUACUCCAAAAAAGACAGGCUUGGGGAGAGUUUCUUUUGGGAAAAUACUUAUCUGUAGCCAAGACUAAGUUAAGCAUUUUGUCUAACCCCAAAGUUUUAGCCAAUGUGGAGAAACAGGCAUGUCUGGAGGUCAAUUUAUUUUGUUCAAGGGUAUGCAUUUGAAACUGUGAUUCUUAUAGCUGAUGAAAUGAAUGCCACUCAAAGGUUUCAUAAUGUUGGAAAGUAAAUAUUUAACUAUGGAAAUAAGGAAAUUAUUUUGACUUUUUCUAUAAAAAUGGGGCUAUUACUUUGAAGAAGAAUGUGUUUUGAUUAAUAAUUACAAAAUUGUGAAAUCCAACACUUAGCUCUAUUUUGGGGUGAAGAAAAAAAAAAAAAGAAGAAGAAGAACACUGAGCUUUCUUUCCUUUGCAGCUUUUUGGUUUUCUCAGCACAACAGAAAAACUAACUCCCUGUUUUACAUUCUACUGGUCCUGUACCACACGCAUUAUGGUAGAGUUGAGUCAGUAUUUACAAAGCAAAACUAAAAGCCUCUUAAGUAGCAAAUAUGGUUGCUCAUAAGCUGCAGAAUGUGAUCUGUUAAUUAGUAUUAUUAUUGUGCUGCUUCUUAGAAAAUCACUGAGCGCUUCGUCCAAAUGCCUGUGAUUACAAAUGUUUCAUACGUUUUAAGAAAGUGAUUAUCCUCUUGAAACUGAAUAUGUGACAGUUUGAUGUUUUCAUUCAUUGAUUUGUGAUCCUAUUUAAAAUUUAAGAGUCAUCCAGACAGGAAAAACACUACUUGAAAGUACAAACACAUGGCACGUACAAAUACACUAAAACGCUUGAAGAAAGCUCAUUCAAACAGCCAAAACACUGAAUAUUAUUAAUGCAAAAAUAUUCCACAGGGAAAGAACUUAAAAUCAAGACUAAAAACAUUAAAAAGCUCAUUUCAGAAUUUUCUCCCUUCAAAAACAAUGUUCAAUCCACAAUAAGCAGUUCAGCCAGCUCUAGACUCAACUCGGGUCUCAACCAGUCAUUAUUUUGGUACUUGAAAGCAAAAGGGAUUUGAUGGGAAUGUAUGAUGGAUUAUUUUCUGCACGUUUUUAAUUGGGUGACUUCUUCCCUUAAAGGGUUCCUAAUUUUUCACACAUGUCUCCAAACAUCCUCUGCCAAUACUAAAUUCCGCUCAGAUGGGUUUUCUGUUAGAGAAAAAUCUGGCAGUUACGACUCCUUGGCUAUAAUCCAGUAAAUCCAAGUAGGAGGAGCCAGGAAACUGAAGUGUUUUAUGUAGAUAGCAUAUUUGUUCUUUGUGCACCCAGAUUUAUACAUUCUUGUAAUAAACAAAGCCCUGAACAUUUUUUGGUUCCUUUUUUAAAUUAUUUCUUUUAAAAGCAAUAGUACCACAGAACCUCCUUCCAAAUCAUUAGCUAUUCUUUCUCUGGUCCUCAGUUCAUCAAAAGUCAACUGGCUGUAUUUACUGAUGUCUACAAAUCUCUCCACAUCUCUCUCUCUUUGUCUACAUUGGUGUAUAUGAUCUGAUGGAAGCAUUUCUAGGAAUUAAAAGAAAAUUGGUCCGAUAGUGUGAAUUAUCCAUCGUCUUCUUAGGCAGAAUGAAUCUUAUUGAGUAGCUGAAUGCCACCGGAUAUUAUAUCUUCUUUAGAUAUUCCCUCUUUUAAUCUUCAGAAAGGGGAUUUGAGACAGAGAAACCACUUGAUAAAUUUCCUUGAAAAAAAAACCAGAAGACUUUGUGGACAUAAAUUAUAGACUUUUAACUCAGAUGGGGAAUUGAGAUUUCCAAGUUUGUAGAUGAAGAUUCAAGUACGCCAACAAUGAGUAGUUGAAGUAGUACAGCUGAGCAAAGCAAGGCAGCUUUAAAAGGCCCCAAAUGCUUGCAUCCACAUUCCAUGACUUUAUGAGUGAUUAUUUUUGCUACAGAUUUAAACAAAGCCUAUCAUCUUAUUCCUUAUUUUUCAGCUUGCUGAAAAAAAUGAUUUGAAGAAUGGGUUGUACCAUACCACUGAUGCCUCCUUUAUACAACAAUGUCAGAGGUUUAGGGCUAGAAAGCUCCCAUACCUAAGUUCAGUUAGAGAGACAAUUGUGUGUAUGCUUGAGUUACUGAGGACAUGCUGAGUACAAAAGUCUGCAUAAGGUAUUUCUACUCUCUCUCUCUCUCUUAACCUUUUUUGUCUCUCCUGCAAGUUUGGGUUUGUUGGCUGAUUACCAAUGUUAAUGACUGUUCUUCAUUCUAAGGGCUCAACAGACAAGGGUAUGUCAGAACUGAAAAUUCUGUUCCACAGGAAAUUCUGACAUUUUGAAAUAUGUCCAAGUUUGAAGAGGAAAAAAGACCAGAGAAUUUGUAAAUUCCCGUGUAAUAAAACAUUCCCCUAAUGCCCUGUCAAUAGAAAUAUACCAUUUUAUUAAAAUGUUUUUAUUUUUUAAAAGAGCUUUUCUGAAAGAGGCAUUGUAAAUAAGAAGCAUUCAAUUCCAAAAGCUUUGCAAUGAGCUUUGAACAAAUUCUCUUUUACUAAGAAUGAAUGCUUCCAAUUUGAAACACACAACUUGAUACCAGUUCCCACUGUUGAACUGGCAUUUUCAAAUUGGAAAAUAUUUAUUUACAAAGUGCCUGCCCAGCACUAGGAAUACAGUGGAGAACCAGAGAAGCACAGGUAGAAGACCCAACCCUAAGCAGCAUGGUGGAGUUCACAGCAAUGCAACUACUCUGCAGAGAUUCUCCCAGGCACUCGGUGCUCCCUUGGUCAUCCCCAGCUUCAGCAGCCAUUCUUCGGAACGUAUUAGUGAAGAGAGAUUUGUUGCCAUGCUGCAUCACACCAUUUUUUUUUCCUCCAGCUAUUAUAUUACUUGCUAGGCUGUUGAAAAGAAGAAGCAAAAAUACAGCUCAAACUACCAGCAUUCUUUGCCACAAACCUGUAUCAACAGCAGCUUGUCCUGGCCGUUGAGCUCAUCUCUCAAAUCUGUAAAGCCUAACUCUGGCAAAUCUGUUCACAGCAUGUUUAGCUUAAAUCCUUCAAGCAUUACUAUUGUAAAUUAGGAAGUAUUCUGAAGUGCCUCAGUGAUACAUUUAACUGGGGCCUAAAGAAACGAGUAAAUAAGAUAUAAGGCGGAAAAGAAUGUGUCCUUGAUUUGAGUGUUUUCCCUGUUGUUUAGGAUAAUGCAUUUUAUCACUGAAUAAUUUCUGAUCUUUGCAAAACACUAUGGAAAUUGCUUGUUGACACAGUGUCAGAGCUGAGAUGUUUAUGUUUUCCUGGUGCUUUUAAUCUGUCGCAAAUCUUUGGCAACAAUAUCUUUGAGGCUGGGGAAAAUGUGUCUGAAAUUGUAUUGACAUUGCAAAUGGAUUUACAAGCUUGUCCUUUAAAAUCUUCUUUCCCCUUUGUGCUUUACUGCUUACAGUAGAGUGGCAAUAUUCUGGAUAACUUCAGAAAUACGUAUAGUGGUUUGAAUGCAAACUGUGUAUUCUGAGACCAAGUUUCCAUCUCAGCAUCACUGCAACCACCAUUUUUGUAUACUGAGAUAUAGGUGAUGCCAUAUGCUAUGUCUGCUAUUUCAUCUCACUGAGUAACACUGUAGACAAACAGAGAACAACUAAGAGCAUCAACAAAAUCAUUUCAUACUAAAGACAGCAUUUCUGUGAUGCAACACGUGGAGACUGUUCCUACUUUUCAUGUGGAAUUUCACAGUACAGCCAUGCAAUAAGGAAACCACUGGGUCGCCAAAUGACUCACUGCAUCACUUGGUAAUAAACAAAUGCUUGCUUCAUAAAAUGCAUCUUUCUACUAAAUUCCUGCCUUGAGAGUUUUAUGUAGCUGUAAAAAUUUGCUGAAAAAGCUCUGAGAUGUACAGAGUGAUACUAGUUUGAAUUACAGCUUCCCUAUUCAAAUAGCCUUACACUAUUCCUCUGAAAAGUUGCUUUAUCAGAAAUGGGAUCUUUAUUUCACACAGAUGACAUGUGAACACACUGGCUUGGAGGAGAAUAGAUUCCAUAUAGCUUUUCUGGUUAUGAACAUGAUGAGACUGCAAGUAUUUCACUCCUACUACAGACUCAGGGCUCCAGUUUUGCCUGCUACGUGUCCUUUGAUAUGGAUUGAUAAUAAGAAAUAUCUCCACUUCACUGAUUUCUGGUUUUUUUUCUAACUCCUCUCAUAUCUGCUGCUAACCCAUUAGUGAAAGAAAGAAUAUAAAUAAUGAAUGAGCCAUUACAAUGCAGGAUCCUAGUGAAAGACUGCAAGAAACUCAGACUUUUCCAGGGAAGGCUAACAUGAUUCAUACCGUACGCUUGCAUAAUAUUGGCGGCUAUAAGACUUAGGAGGAAUUAUUUUAACAGUUUGUUGUUCUCACAUAUCUUUAAAUAUUUGUCAUUGUGGGUCUCAGGGGAAGCCCAUGUUUAAGUUGGACAAGAGUUGUACGGAUAAAUCAUUACUGCUAGCAGAUCAUUCAGGACCAUCCACUUCCAUAGUCAGGCUCUAUUACUCACCAGUUCUAGCGCCAGCUGAAGACACCAAGGCACGGCUUCAUGCUGGAAUAUCACUGGAAUCUUUGAAUAUUACUGGAUCUCUGAGUAGUGCCCAGAGCUGCCUAUGGAGCCACAUAGGCCACAGAUUUCUGAAAUUUGAAAACCUUCACAGUUGUGAAUUUUCCAGCUGUUCUGUUUCAUAGAUUUAUUUACCCAUUUUGCAACUCUUCAAAAUUAAACUAAAUAUAAAACUGAUGUGUCACUGCCAAAUCCAAAAUCAAAGCAUUUAUUGUGAAAAUAUCAAGAUUAAACUUUUAAUCUUUGAUUCCUUCCCUCUUGGCUUUUCCAGAUGAGACAAUUAAGGAAAUUCAUUUGAAGUUCCCAUGUACUCUUGCUGCCUUGACUUGUUCAGAGAAUUUACUAUUUAGAAUCAAAAUGGUGUUCCUCCGAAGCAGUGCAAAGCAAUCCUUCCUCUGCAGCCAAGACAUUCUGCAAAACUGAGAGCCAAAAGGGCUCCCAAUAGGCAGUCCACUCUCAUGCUGUCCCACAUAAGCAAUCACAUGUUGCACAUAUUGAAACAUUUGCAGUUCUAAUUGUAGGAGUUUUCAAGUAAACACCUUGAUUUCAUGUUUUAUUUUUUUUUGCGUUGUUGUUUAAAAUUUGAGUUCUCCUUCACAGUGUUGCAAACACAAACACAGCCACGCAGAACAAUACUUCCAUGGAACAGAAUUUGUGUAAUUUGGCUACCCAGACAACUGGGUAAGCCCAAUUACACAAAUGCAAGGAGCUGGAAUCUCUAGGGUCUUCCAUGGGGGGAGAGCCCUGCGUGCGAACGGAUUGGCACUUGUCUUGCUCCAUCCUUUUUUCAUGUGUCAUUCCAGAAAGCAGAACCAGACUACAAACUCAUGCCGUGGCUCCACAGCCAGCUGAGGCCGAGAAGCCUGAGGAGUUUCUUUUAUGCGCCUAGCAUGAGCCUGUAUAUUAAAGCCAUUAACAUCACAGAUGAUAGCCUUCAUUGUGCCUCAAUCACGGAAUGGGUAAAUGAUGGUAUCACUGUGCAAAGAAAAUCUGUUCUUCCUGAGGUCUCUAGGAUGCACAUGGGCGCAGCCUGAUAUUGUCCAGGGAAGGCAGUACCUCUGGAAGACCUACAUUAAGCUCCUCUUAGACACUGCCUAAUGCCCAUAUUUGUGCCAAUAACUCAUGCAAUAGUUAUGAACAGCAAACUGGGAUUGUUAAAAUGGGGUGAUUUUUCUCGUCACGGAAUUAUUUUGAUUACUCCUGCCAUGAGAUUGUUACGUGGCACUGGAAGCCAAGAGAGGAAUGGAGUUCAAAAUCCUGCGCUCUAUUCUAAAAGCGCUGUUUAUUUUAAUAACUAUGAGCUCCAUGUGAGGACUGUAACACCAAAUAACAUGAAGAAAAUUCUGUGGCAGACAGGCCCUGUGCUGAAACCCACACAGCCAUGCCAGCUGGUUUCUGAAGGAUAUUUACCUAGGCUUUCAGCAUUUUCCUGAUGUUCUUCAGAUGCUGUCAGUAGUUGAAAGCUUUAUUCAGUGUGCCUCCAAUAGUGCUGUGCUCCAACAUUCCGCUGAGUUCAGUGGUUUGGAUGCAAACACAGCCGACCAUCUACAACAAAGCCUUGCAGAAUUUCAUGAGCUGAUCCCAAACAAAAAUUAGUUAUUUCCAAGUAGCAGCGUCUCAUCAUGCGAUAUAUACAAGCAAGGAAAUAAAAAGACAGUCACUUCAUGCCCAGGAAAUACUCAGUGGAAGUCAUAUACAUAUGCAGAAUAGAAGAUAACUGUGAGGCCAGCAUGUCAGUGCAUCACAUGUAUAGUGCAUAAAUUAUAUGGUUAGUCUGACUUCACACAGUAAGUGGGUUUACCACGCGUUGUGCAGUUCAUCUGGGCAACAUAUGCUCCAAAGUUCUAAUUCUGUGGAAGUACUGCAUACUCUGUGGGGCUGAUCUGCUGUGCAUGGUGAAUGUGUCUGGGAUCUCUAGGUAUCCAACAGCUCAGGCUGAGCUGCUAUUCUGGUCAGGCUGUCCCAGACAACUGUCAGCAUUCUGCUCCUAUGAAAUACCAGGACCAAGAAAAGGGCCUGUCUGUGAAAACCAGAUGCAUGGUAGGUAAGAGGAAAAAAAUAUAUUGCAUUCCUGUGUAUUACAUUUUGUUACUGACCUUACACCAGAUCUCCAGACUGUUAAGUCUCCUCCUCAAGACCUAUGAGAUGUAUAUUUAUAGAAGAAAAUAUCAAAGCAUACAGAAAUAACACAGUAACCUGAACUGUUAAGUAAAUGUCAAUUAAAGUUAAAUAAAAAGUCAAUGUAAAAUUAAAAAAAAAAAAAAAAAAGCUUUAAAUAACAUAGAACUACAAUUCUAGAAAUGUUCCUAAGCAGAAAAAAAUUGAUACCAUUGUCAGAUCAGGAAGAACGGGCUGAACAACCAACGUGUGCAGUUCACAGAGACUGAGCUCAAAGAAGUGCGCAUUCAUUGUUCUGCAUACAGCUGUGGCUGUUCCUUUUUCGAUAUCCUUUCUCCUUCACAACUGGAGCUACACUGCCCAUGUUGCAAGGGAGGUGUUCCUGAGAAGUUACGUGAGUGUGGCGAAGCAGGUCACUUGAAGAUGACAUGUUCUGGGCCACUAACCCCAUUCAUCCACCCAGGAUUCCUUUUCCUUCAGAUACCGUCUAGUGUUACGGCGCUCGGUGUUGAUUGCCAGGGCACUCGACAUUUGGUUGUUGUCUGAUGAGAGCAACUAACUGGAAUGCUCCCUCUGAGAAAACCUAUUGACAUAUAUGGGCUCUGUUGUAUCUUUGCAUACGUAGUUAAUACGCCCUGAAACCUGACAUAAGGAAAACUCACCAAAUGCUGUUUGGAUGUAGCACAAACGUAACUCUUCUUGCUUCAUUAAACAUUCACUCAUAACUUGCAAUUCAAUUCCAUCACCUGAAAUAAAAUACUUGAGACAACUGUAAACUAAAUGUCAGGCCUCUUUCUUGUCAUAGAAGAAGCCUUUUCCAUUCAGCAGAAUUAAUCAACUUAUCUUACUUGAAAAAUAUUUUUUUUCUGGAAACCUCCCAGAGAGUUUGCUUUGUGAGGCCAUCUCCCAGCAAUUCAAUAGGAAACAAUACGGGGUGAUUCAGAUGGGAAGGAUCAAACAAUGGGAUAUAAAUCCUGAUAUAAGACUGCAGAUGUUUUAAAUACAAAUAUUUUUAACCCUAAUACUCAUCCGUGUUAUACCGAUGAUAUGAACUGGCAGAAUGAGAGACUUGCAAUAAAGUACAAUACAAACAAAGCCUAUUUCUACUCAGUGCAUGAAUUUGAAAAUAAAUCAAACGCCGAAGCAUAGUUUCUUCAAACAUCUUUUUCCAAAGCCAACGGUUUCAUGGUAACGUAAUUUAGGUGAUGAGCACGCUCGGAUAAAUGCCAUGUGGGCCACAAACUAUCUGCUCCACCAAGAGAAACUGCCGUCCCAACUUAUCCCAGCUUCCUCUGCACCCACCAUCUUCAUUUUUUCCAGUGCAGUAAUAGCAAAAGCAUUGACAUGAUUCAGGACUUACUCCAAAAUUCUCUGCAGCUCUUUCUAGAAAAUACACAGGGUUGUACACUGAGAGUAUCUCCUGACAAACAGGAGAUCUUUUGGGGAUUAUGCUGCCUUCCCCUCUCCCCACCUGCCCUUUCUCUUCCCUUUAUUUCUCAUUGCUUACGAGACGGAUGGUUAUUAUCAGUUUAUUAUUACUGUUUUUCCACAGACUUUCUCAAAUGUCAAGUGAAUCUGAUCUGGAGUUCAGGCCCAUAAUUACACUGGAUCGACUCCAGGAACUCGUAAAUAAAUCGGUGGUGGCUGCAGUGGCUGCCAGAGCUCUGUCGUUCUGCUCUUCUGAGGGUGGACAGAGGCUUUGGCUCUUUUCUAAAAUUCUACACUUGCCAUUGAGUUUUUCUCACCUUCUUUUAAAAGACCCUGGGCUUCCUCGCUCGAGUUUGGCAUAGCCUCACACAGGAAGAGAAAGCUACCGGCCCGCCACAUGGUUGAAUACAUUCAUUUAGAAAAGCAGCUGAAAUGCAGAUUGUUACUUUCUGCUUUCUCCGUAUGUGGAAACCUUGCAGGGGCAGACAUAUUUCUGUCUCUCCUCUGGCCCCUUUGUUGACGUUCAUAGUUUACACUGGGCUUUACAGUGAGGCACAUCUUUGUCAUGGGAUAUCGACUGUGUUGAGCUUUGGAGAUCAGUUCCACAGCUUGCCAAGAAGGUCCCAUAAGUGCAGGGAUGCUUGGAUUCAAGGUUAUGCAUUUAAAGGAAGCAGCGGGCACAACAUCCAUUCACAUGGCUUACGGAGCUCUGGGAAGCUGACUGGUAAAGUUAAAUGUUAUUUCCAAGCCUGUUUCUAAUCAUAUCAAUCCAUAUGGAGCACAGCAUCUGGUUACAGAAUGGAAUCUCCACCCAGCACAGGCUAGAACUUAACGCUGUAGAUGUCAUCCUGAUAGCCCUCAACACUUCUUCCCUGAAAAACUUCAAAUAAACUAUUUCAGCACAAGAUGAGAGCUGAGGACAUGUUCAGGAAACGGUUCCUUUGCUUCAGCCUCAUCUGCAGUUAGAACAAGUCCCUAAUAUCUGAAGGGAGGGAGUCCAAUGAAUGGGGCCAGGCUCUUUUCAGUGGUGCCCAAUGAGACCAAUUCUCUUCACAGGGGUCACUGAAAGGAAAGUAGGGAAUAGCAGAGCUUUAUCAGUGAUAACCUUGUUCACUAUCAUACCAAUUGCAUAAAGGUAAACUGCUGGACUCCUUUAAGAUAGGUUGAGCUACUGUUCCUGCUGCAGAGCACUUUUCAAACCAGUGCCAGUUACUUCAUGGAGUGAAAAACACCGAAUUCUUUGCAAAAGAAUGUCAUUUCUUUCCUAUGCCUCCCCCCAGGCAGCCCCAUUGUUUAAAUAAGUAUGUGCUUGUUCCCCAAAUACAGAUGGUUUUGACUCCCAUCAUAAAUCAAACACGCUUGUGUCAAACACAUUAAAAAUGUAGGGAAAAUCAUCUUUUUAACUGAUGUGGAUUUAGAUGCUUGGUCUGACCCAAAUUACGUUUCUUUAAUAAUCUUAAUUCUUUCCUGGUUCUUCUGGGAACAAAAGAUUCCAAUAUAUCAUCAUGCCUCCUUCUCCUCCCCUGGAAUUCCAAUCAAUCUUUUACUCCUUUUUAAAUGUAAAUUUUAAACAAUCAUGUAUCUGGAUCCUGGAUUAAGUCUGCAGGGGGAAAAAAUCUCUGGCAGAAGAUGGUAAGGACUGUGCCUAAGGCAAAAUCCAGACAAAUCGGUUCUCAACUGGAGUAAAAACAGCUCUUGGCAAAUGGAUCACAGGUUUUGGUUGCAAGAGUUCCAUCCAGAACCCAUUCUGAUAUUUGAAAAUAAAUCGGACAGAGUCACAUCAAUCACAACAAAAGCAAAUGUAACAUCCAAUUGCACUUUCCCCCACUCAGACAGCCCUCUCAGGCCCAUUUUAUAGGGCAUUUCUUACAGGAUCAAAAUUCCUUGGUGGUUCCAGUGAGAAGCUGCCGCCUUUUUUAUCUGUAGGGAGAGAGAACACCUCUGAUAGUUUCAAUCAGGAUGACAGGAGUUGUGCUGAAAGGCAGCAGGAGGAAGCACACUUUUAAGGUCACUGUCCACUCUAGGAUUUCUAACCUUGCUAUGGUUUAUUUCUGCCCUCCUUUCUGUGCUAGCCUCGCUCCUUCUCUCCCUCAGUCAGACUGGAAUGACCUGCCUGUGCUUUCUGUUUGAUGUGGGUUUUGUGUAUCUGCACAAAGUAAUUCAUAACCACUGGGCAAAAGGCAGUGCCCACACCGCAUCAUUAGCCAGCAAUUAAGAAACUUCUGCCUGCACAGAGCUAUAAAGCCCAGCAGUGCUUCAGGCCCUCAGUGCUCCUUUAGAGCUCGCCUAGGGCACAAAGCUGCCGUAGUGCUGCAGGGAGGCACUUUGUAGCGUGCCCUGCAGAGUGCAUUUUGGGCACUGAUUUGAAGGUUUUACGAUUCGCCUCCUUUUAGCACGUUUCUGCACCUUGAGAUUCCCUCCUCCUGCGCACGGAGCUGAGCAGAAGGGAAUCAGCCGUUCCUUUGGGUUCCACACACUGUCUGCUCAAGCUCUCAGGUUCAACACCCCCCGAGUGAUUGUCUCUUUGGUAAUUCUUCUCAUGCUCACAUUUCAAGUUGCUUUCUGAGACCUGAUCAAGAGGAACGGGACUGAAAUCCUUCACGUAGUACACUUAGAAAAAUGUCUGUCUAAAUAAAAUGGUUAAAAAUAAAGGUGAUUCUACCUUCUGGGCUAUUUAAUAUCAGAGAACGUGAACGUGUCCCCAUGCCCCCUCACCUCAGCACUGCUGGGGGCUGUGACAGGGAGGGCCACCGGCGCGCUGAGGUGGGGUCCUGGUCUCUUUCCCGGGGGCCCAAAGAACAACUCAUGGCUAAUUUGGAAGGGACCAACGAGGGAGCGGGACAGGCCUCGGUGUGACACGGAGGGCCGUCCGGCGUGACAGGGGGCUCAGGUCAGGGGCCCCUCACACCGCACCCCACGCCGGGCCGGGCGCGGCCCCUUUAAGGAGCGGAGCAGCGCCCGCAGGAG
ensembl:lncRNA